rnacentral:tRNA from 1 species
GCCUGGGUGGCUCAAUUGGUUGAGUAUGUGACUUCGGCUCAGGUCAUGAUCUUACAGUUUGUGAGUUCAAGCCCCGCCUCGGGCU